CGAACGGGUGAGUAAUGCUUAGGAAUCUGCCUAGUAGUGGGGGAUAACUAUCCGAAAGGAUAGCUAAUACCGCAUACGACCUACGGGUGAAAGGGGGCUUUUAGCUCUCGCUAUUAGAUGAGCCUAAGUCGGAUUAGCUAGUUGGUGGGGUAAAGGCCUACCAAGGCGACGAUCUGUAGCUGGUCUGAGAGGAUGAUCAGCCACACUGGGACUGAGACACGGCCCAGACUCCUACGGGAGGCAGCAGUGGGGAAUAUUGGACAAUGGGCGAAAGCCUGAUCCAGCCAUGCCGCGUGUGUGAAGAAGGCCUUUUGGUUGUAAAGCACUUUAAGUAGGGAGGAAAAGCUUGUGGUUAAUACCCACAAGCCCUGACGUUACCUACAGAAUAAGCACCGGCUAACUCUGUGCCAGCAGCCGCGGUAAUACAGAGGGUGCAAGCGUUAAUCGGAAUUACUGGGCGUAAAGCGAGCGUACGUGGUCAUUUAAGUCAGAUGUGA
rnacentral:rRNA from 1 species